CCCCUCCUACCAACCAACUAAAAAAAACCCCAAAAAAUCCCCAAAACCAAACCCUCAAAACCCCCUAAACAUGAAUUUUGCAGUCCUUGGCAACAAGUUGCUGACAGAUCAUGAAAAUAUCCCAGGCAUUCUGUGUUUGCCAGCAGGGGCAAUGUAGCCAGUGCUGAUGCAGUGUUCAUUCAGAGCUCGUCAGCACUUUAAGACACAGCUCAAGGCCUCUUCCCUUUUCAGUCUUUGGCAAUUCCACAUCUACUGAUUGAAGGAGAUGUGUGAAAGUUCAGGAUAUCACAGUCCAGCAGUUCAUUGCACUGCUGGUUACUUUGCUGUUUGAGCCUCAAGUAACUUUUCCCCAAUGGCACAGCAAGUUUUGAAGCCUUUCUCUGAAAAUCUACCUGCACCAUCCAGACUUUCAACAAGGAAAGUUAAAAAAAAAAAAAAUCUGUAAAUUCAGCCCUUAUAUGGAUGGAGGGAAGAAGAGGGGAGAACUAAAAGGAAGAACAAAUAGAUUUAGUAAAAGUAAAAAGGAGAAAAUUACAGAACUCUGCAUCUUUAAAUGUCCUUUUUUCUAGAUAAUAUCUUUGAUCUUAGCUCCUUAAGUAUGAAACAAAUCAAUAAAAGGCUAAAGAGCAAAUUAAGAUCUUUAAAAAAAGAACGCUGAUUAUUUUGAAGUCUUCUACACCUGUUAAGAGGCUUUUAUAUUUUAUUAUUUUAGACUGUUUCUUGAAUGUGUUAAGCACUGGAAUCAAGAUACUAAUUUAAAAAUAAGAAAUUUUUAAAUUAUUUUCUAUUAUAUGUAUUUUAAAACCCCCAUAUAGACUUUCUUCUCUAAAGAAGUGUAUUUCGAAGCAGAGUUUUAGAAAGUAAAAAAAUUAAUUUCAAAGAGUUGCGAAUGGUGUGGAAAAUUGAAACAUUAAAUGGGAGGUACAGUAUAGAAAACAUAUUCUUUUGUUUUAGAGGGGCCAAUGUAGCAGGUCUUGUGGUUGUAACAGCUAGGUAAGCAGCCCUCUGAAGAUAAACUAAAUGAGAUUAAGGAAAAAAUUACUUAGGUUUAGUGCAAAGCAUUGUGUUCUGCAGUUAAGCAGUGUUUUCUGCCAUAAUCUUUAUGAACAGGCAAGUGCUUUUCUCUCCUCUGAUAUGGUGUUUCAUGACAAGAUCUUUUUAAUCAAAACCAGUAGGGGAUUAUUUUAAUUAAUUAUAAAUCAGCAGCCAAGAUUCAUUAACAUUUUUGUUAAAGAUUAUCUUAUUACUCUAGUUUCAAGAUGCCGAGUGUUCAAAUACUAGCUUAGGAAGUUAGUUUUCUUUUCCAUGAGAGCAUUAAUCUUAUGUAUAAAUUCCCAAAAGAGUUUGGAGCUCAAGUUACAGUUUUAAAGAGAAGUAGAAAUACUGCAGAGAGUUUUGCCGGACCAUGGAUUCCUUUAUUAACACUGAAUUCUUUUACCAGCUUGACUUACAAUUUUCAGCUUUGUGUGCUUGCAACUACAGAGCAGUUUCUGGCAUUAGCAGCCUAAACAAAACGCAGUUCCAGGGUGUUUGACCUCUUGAUGCACUUGUCAAAACCUUCCUGGUGUCACUGCGAGUAACACGUGUGGUAGCAGGCCAACUUCCACUUUGUGUGGUGAGAGUUGGAAAGAGAUGUGGGCUGGUAUCCUGUAGAGUUUGUGAGUUCCAAGCAAAUCUCACGUGGAGUUUGCUGGCUUGGUCAUGUGGCCAGGCUGUCACUGAUGGAUCUAAAAUGUGUGCAGCAGCUUGGAAAUCUGCUGUCCUUUUAAAUGUGCAACUGGUGGAGUGUGUGCAUCCUUUCUGGCGUGUGGGCUCCCAUGUUAACCAACCCUCUAAGGCUGGGAGGUGGCAGGGGUGCAAGGAAUCUCUUUGCAAAGCAACACAGGAAAGGCUUGCCUGUGGGAAAGCAAGAAGGAAGCAGAGUUGCCUUGAAUGCGUACCAUGACAGUCAUUAAGUCACCAACAUGGUUCAGUUACUUUAGAGUUUCAAAAGAGCUCGCAGUGACAUAGCCCGUGUAUUUAAAAACACUGAAUUAACACUUCCUGCAUGUGAGGAAUUGCUGUUGCAUAGUCAGCCUGGGAGCACAAAGGCAGCAGUAAACAAGUCUGUAAUGUGCAAGAGUAGCCUGCAUUCAGUAUGCCCUCAGUAUUCAGGAGCUCUCAGAUGGACAGUCAAGGUUUUUAUAGCUGCCCUUGGGUCCUGGGGAGUUUAAUAGUUCAGGUUUGCAUUAGGGGUUCCCAGUGACCCUUCAGGUUACACCUGGUGACGUUCAGUAUUCUGAGUGAGUGCUAAUUAUGCUGCUUGCAGCUCUUUGGGCAAGCAGGAAGUGGUUUCCCAUCCUCAGCAUGCCCUAACACAUAGAGAACAUUCCAUCCUCCCAGAUUUAACUUCCUAGGUGGCCUUCCUCUGGAUUAAGUAUGUUUUCUUCACCUUUUCUUUGUAAGGUGUCAUGAUAAUCAGUGUAAAGAGGUAGGUCGCAGCUGCCUGGGCUCCACCCCAUCCCCUCACUGAGAGGAGGGAAGAAAAGGCAUCUUUUGAAUGUCUCAAGUCUCAUGGCAUGGAGUACCAGGGCAGUAGCUGCAGCAGGAUCUGUGAUGUGAUCUGCCUUUGGCCUCUGCAGUGCCCAGCAGUGGAGACCUGCCAGCCUCUUCACUGGGCAAGGCUAGAAAGCAGGAGGGGGCUGGCACCAUCUCCUCAUUUCUGCUUGAAUGGUGCUUACUCUCGGUGCUUGACACCACUCUCUGCUUUGCUCUGUGCUCUCAGAUAAUUUUCUUCCACUGGUGAUGGGAGAAACUUCAUAUUUUGAGGAGUACUGGGCUGGACCUGGUUAUUUUAUAGCUGGUUCAGGAUCGCUGAGGGGAGGGGAGUUGCUCUUCAUCUGCCGUCAUUCCUCGUGCCAGGGCUCAGAGCAGGCUGUGCUGAGACCUUUCUAAAGCAGCUUUUAGGCAGUCUGUGCAGAGCUGGUGGGAGGCUUGGUCUAAAACCAGCUGCUGGCUCCAUGAUUCUCCGAGCUCAACCUUGUCCUUGUUUUGCAAUGUGCUGUGUCCUGAACAUCUGCAGCCUCCUGGGGCUUUAAGGGCUACUCUGCUGUGGGGAUUGCUGAGCUCUUUCUUGCAUUAAUUAAUGUAGCUUUACUUUUGGCAGCAGCAAAGGGAGCUGCCAGAGGUCUUACAUAGCAUUUAAAAUGUCAGCUGCCAGUCUAGAGCAGCUGCCAGCACUGGAGCUCUGGCAGGGGGAAUAUUGUCACAGGACAUGUCAGUGUGGACACAGCGCCAGUCAGUCAGGGCAGGGACUUGUGUACAGAGUAUCCUGACGUUGGUAAAAUGCCCUUUGAAAUCUCAGCAAGCUGGCACCUGUGUUGCUUGGGUCAUAUAUAAGGAAAUGCUGCUGGCUCCUGGCUGUUGUGGUUUGUAUUCAGACCCGACUGAAAUGUGUGAAGAACUUCCCAUUGGAUCAGAGUACAGGCAGUGAAGGAUUCUCUGGAUACCGAAUGCUGGAAAAACAUUCUGUGUACAGGCAAGCAAGGAAGGCUUCUCAGUUAACCUCUGUGGGUGUCAGGAGCCAGUGGCCAGGAUUUACUGCAUCAAAUACAUGGUACACAAAUACACUUUAGGUGUGUGGUGAAAGCUGAUGUCUCAACUCACAAAUGGGAUGCCUCCAGGAUUUAUUUUUAACUUUUAUGAGGAAAGGAGAAUUACAAGAGAUGUGGACAGGUGAGUUAGAUUCUCUUGUGCCUUUGCAAAGACAUCACCAGUGAAACUGUCAGAAGACCACGGUGUGUGAAGAGCUGCAUCUUUUGCCAUCUAUUCUAUUACUAAAGCAAAGAUCUUUUACUUUCCUGAUGUUAUUGGAGAUACCAUUUCUACAGGUGAGAACUUAACAUUGUCCAAUCACAAGACCUCAAUUUAUAUAUUAUUUGCUGUCAUUAAAUAUUUAGGCCACACUGUCCCACGUCUUUGUUGUAAUUUCUCUGGGCUGAAAGAGUAUAGCCUCAACUACUUCAUUUCUGUUGCUUUCCUUGUGCUGGCCUCAGCUUAUGUGCUAUGUAUACUGUGCAGAGUAAUGAAAAAUUUGAAAAAUCAGUUGAGAUAUUUGGAUGUUUAAUUGGCUUAAGCUCACCUCCCAGCUGUGGGAAUGUGGGAGCUUACACAGAGAAGGUGAUGGGACCAAGGCAAAGGGCAAGUGAUGGGGUCUUGCUGCUGGAAAUUGUGUCACUGUGGAUAAAAAACUAUCGUGUUUGGCUGGGCAAAGAAAGAUGUCGGGAAGAAAUAUGUGAAAAUGCCCAGGGGAGUGAAUAUCAGUGGUUCUUAAUGCCACUAACAGUUUCAGGUCAGACAGCUUGCAAACCAUGCUUGGAUUUUGAGGGAUAUGCAAGAGCUCUAAACCUGGGUAGACAGACAUAAUUUUGAGAGAGUGAGAGUUGCUUAUUGAGGAUAAAAUGGAUACUGUGAAGGACUGAAGAUGGCACUGAAACUUCCAGCUUGUUAAAGUCUAAGACAUUAAUUUCAUUCUUUGAAUCAAUGUGUGUACAUCCAAGGAAAUCCUUCCUUUCUGAUGGAUGGGUGUGAUGCUAAUGUCAAAGCGCACCUGCUGUCUGCAGGCCAUACAGAAAGUGAGAAAUGACAGACUCACCAAGCUCCUUCUUUAUUAAAUUUGUGUGGUGCUUGAAGGGAAGGGGCACAGGCUAUGACUGUUUUAAUGUUCUGGAUCAGUAAGUGUUUCCCUGCUGCACAACAAGCACUUCAAAACUGAUCAUUCUUCCUGUGCUCCAGGCUUCACAUCCACCACUGCUCAGUGCACCCAGCACUGCUGGCAUUCCCAUCCUGGAAAAGGCCACUUUUCACAGACAUUGUCACAUUGCAGCUCCUACAUGAAACAAAGCACACCUAAUCCUUUAAACACCUGAGGUACCUACUUGCAAAUCUUUCUGAAUUUGUCCUUGGCCCAUGAAUGCAAACUGUGGCAUUAAGACAAAGGCUUGUUUUCAAAGUUAUAAAUAGCGUAGUUCUUAUUGUUGUCAUAGAAUCUGUGGCAUAAUCCUGUGAGGAGUAUUGUGCUUGUCACACCAGACAGUACAAUCCAUGUUUUGUUUACCCUUUCCCCAUUCUGGUUCUCAGUUUAUAGCAGUGCCAGCUGCAGGUGUGGUGGAGGCUUUAUGACAUUUCUCUGACGUGAAGCUGAGACCAUUAACUCUGACCCCUCUUUCAGAACAUUUUCUGCAUCUCUGCCUUACCUGUUUUCAUUGAUUCUGACUGCUAUGAAAACCCUUUUUAUAUUGCAACACAUACUCAAAACCACAAAUGUUACAGAUCUGGAUCAUGAAUUUAUUCUUUCCUAGUGUUCAUCCAGCCCAUGGCAGUUACCAUGUGACAGCAGCUCUGGGAAGUACCUGGACAUUUUAGAAUGUGGUACUUUCUGUUGAAAAGAUGAUUUUUGCCAGAUAUGUUUCACACCAUAAAUAUGCCACUGUACAUGGUUUGGUGAAAAACUCCACAAAACAAAAGGAAAGGAGGCAAAACAAUUUGCCUGUUCUAGCCAUAUGUCCUGGGUUGCAGUGUAUUCUAUUACCAUCCUCAUGAGCUGUUGAAACCAGGUGGGGCAGUGUUUCCUUGCCUCCUCCCUCCGGACUAUCUUCUGUUAAUGAGCCCAUCAACGCCUUGCUUAAUGACUCAUCAUCCCGUUGUGAGAUGCUCCACCCAGAGGGAGGAACCAAGCAUUCCACCCUGGAUAUAAUCUGAGAUUCCAAACACUAGAAACAACCUUCUCACUGGAUUUCCAGAGGACAGGAGCUACACAGCCACCACUGGACCUUCUGAGGAAGAGCAACCCCUUUCUACAGGA